rnacentral:rRNA from 1 species
CCAACAGGGAUUGCCUCAGUAACGGCGAGUGAAGCGGCAACAGCUCAAAUUUGAAAUCUGGCGCAAGCCCGAGUUGUAAUUUGCAGAGGAUGUUUCGGGUGAAGCCGCGGUCCAAGUCCCUUGGAACAGGACGUCAUAGAGGGUGAGAACCCCGUACCUGGCCGCCGGUGCCCCCCGCUGUGAAACUCCUUCGACGAGUCGAGUUGUUUGGGAAUGCAGCUCUAAAUUGGUGGUAAAUUCCAUCUAAAGCUAAAUACCGGCCAGAGACCGAUAGCGCACAAGUAGAGUGAUCGAAAGAUGAAAAGCACUUUGAAAAGAGAGUUAAAAAGUACGUGAAAUUGUUGAAAGGGAAGCGCUUGCGGCCAGACUUGCCCGCGGUGGCUCAGCCCGCCCUUUGGCGGGUGUACUCCUCCGCGGUCAGGCCAGCAUCGGUUUGGGCGGCCGGACAAAGGCGCCGGGAACGUAGCCUCCCCUCGGGGAGGUGUUAUAGCCCGGCGCGCAAUGCGGCCAGCCCGGACCGAGGUUCGCGCUCUGCUAGGAUGCUGGCGUAAUGGCCGUAAGCGGCCC